rnacentral:rRNA from 1 species
AUUGAACGCUGGCGGCAUGCUUUACACAUGCAAGUCGAACGGUAACAGGCCGCAAGGUGCUGACGAGUGGCGAACGGGUGAGUAAUGCAUCGGAACGUGCCCAGUCGUGGGGGAUAACGCAGCGAAAGCUGCGCUAAUACCGCAUACGAUCUAUGGGUGAAAGCGGGGGACCGUAAGGCCUCGUGCGAUUGGAGCGGCCGAUGUCAGAUUAGGUAGUUGGUGGGGUAAAGGCUCACCAAGCCAACGAUCUGUAGCUGGUCUGAGAGGACGACCAGCCACACUGGGACUGAGACACGGCCCAGACUCCUACGGGAGGCAGCAGUGGGGAAUUUUGGACAAUGGGCGCAAGCCUGAUCCAGCAAUGCCGCGUGCAGGAAGAAGGCCUUCGGGUUGUAAACUGCUUUUGUACGGAACGAAACGGCUCUGGUUAAUACCUGGGGCUAAUGACGGUACCGUAAGAAUAAGCACCGGCUAACUACGUGCCAGCCGCCGCCGUAACAC